UUUCGCAAGGAUAAACGAUUGUUCUGU
rnacentral:sRNA from 1 species